GCGGAAGUGGCGAAAUUGGUAGACGCAGUGGAUUUAGGUUCCACCGACGAAAGUUGUGGGGGUUCGAGUCCCCCCUUCCGCACCA
rnacentral:tRNA from 1 species